AGCCAUAGCCAUAUCACCCUGCAGCCCAAGACUGGUCGCCCACUGUAGCAAAGCAAGGUUGAGCCUGGUCAGUACCUGGAUGGGAGACCUCCUGGGAAAAUUAGGUUGCUGUUGGAA
rnacentral:rRNA from 1 species